rnacentral:lncRNA from 1 species
GUGAUUUCAAUUGUAGUUGUAUAUUAUGAAAUUUACUCUUAUAACAUCUCUUUAUAAAAUGACUUCGAGCAUCCAGCUUCACCACUGCUGCCUGCUCUCUCCUUCUUCGGCACUUCCCAGUCCACAACAGACCUGGUCUUCUCUUGAUCCAUCCUCUCGCUUCGCUCGAGCAUCUUCAAACCUCACUCCGGCGAAUGGGUACCUAGGCUUCUCUUGCCAAUGUAUACAAAUAGACAGACCUGGCGAACUAUCUUUCCAAAGCCCCUUGCAGGACGGAGUGAACCAAUCUCAGUCAACGGGACUCACAACGAUCCAAUAGAAUGAGAAAUUGUCACCUCUAGACAGAAUGAGGCUCCCGUUGAGAGAUCUAUUAGUGAUUGGGCCACCCCUCCUGGCAAAGAAAGAAAGGCAGGUUCAGGCGAUUGAUCAAAAAAAGAUUUCGCCGCCGUUUACCGGGGCUUCCAUUCAAAGCUUAUAACACUUCUCCUUCCGACCUUCCAGCACCAUCAUAUCUUUGGUUUCAAAAAAAAAGGCAAACAUGUGAAAGGCGACACGUACUCUCUGAAAUAGUUAAGAUGCAUGCAUGCGAGAGUUUGACUUGAACAUCAUCAUUAUAAAAAAUAACAAAUAACAAUAGACUAGAAAAAUUCGAACCGUGAAUUACACCAGUCAUCCAAACUUAAGUCUUAUUAUGCAUUCAAGGCUCAAAAACAAAUGUUUAUUUUAAUAAUGGUGGAUGUGUUCAUCUAAUCCAAGACACUGAAUGAAGAUAGAACAGAAAUAGCCGACUAGCAAACAAGGGCAGCAACAACAUGCCACUAAGGGACCAUCUCUUCUUGUUUCACCUGAAUGAUACACAAAACUAUUGAUUGCUCAUUGUUCGACAUGUAAAAUAUAACGGGUUUAAGUUAUAUACACCAUCAACAUAAGGAAUUUUUACACCAUUAAGGGUGUGUUUAGUACGAAGAAAAAUAUUUUUCAUGGAAAAUGAGUCUUGUUUGGUUGAUAGGUGAAAAACUUUUUCCGGAAAAUAUUUUUUUGUGUUUGUUUAGAGAGUAGAAAAUAAUUUUUUAUGCUACUUUACUCCCCCUCCCCAAAAAAAAAUAAACAAAUACCCAAUGUUUUGAGGACUCUAUUUUCUUUAAUAGUUUAAUUAUUCUUUUAAAAAUUCACACAAACCCAAAGUGACUAAUGUGAUGUUUUACUUUUUCAAGCAAAAAUAACGUUGAAAUUUGUGCUACAUAACUAAAAAGAAAAUACUAUUUUUUUGGUUGAAAAAAGGUCUCUUUCUACAACAUGAAAAAGUACUCAUUUUGUUAAAAUUAGAAAAAUUCUUUUUCUACAUUAUAAAAAGAAAAUACUCAUUUUGUUGAAAUGAAGUAAACUUUUUACUACAUCAUUUUGUUGAAAUGAAAGAAAAUACUUUUUUCUACGUCAUAAAAAGAAAGUACUUUUUUUGUUGAAAUGAAAUAAAUAUUUUUCUAUAUCAUGAAAAGAAAAUAUUUUUUUUGUUGAAAUGAAUGAAAUUUUUUUUUACAUUAUGAAAAAAACAAUCAUUUUGUUGAAAUUGAAAAGAAAGUACUCUAUCUACAACAUGAAAAGAAAAUACUCUUAAUAAUAUUUGGGUGGGGUGGGGUGUGGAGGGGGGGAUUGGUGGGGAUGGGGAAUAGGGUGGGGAAGGUUGAAAAGAAUUUUGGGUGGGGAUGGGGAAUAGGGUGGGGAAGGUUGAAAAGAAAAUACCAAAGUUUAUGGAGAAGAAUUUUGAAAAAUAUUUUUCCUUCUUUUGAUAGGAAAAACAUUUUCCUCCGAAAAAAAUAUUUUCCAAAAUAUUUAAUCCAACCAAAUAUGGAAAAAUUAGAAAAUAUUUUCCUACAUACCAAACACACCCUAAGUCAUUUUUACUUGUUGUAAAAUAUAACAUGUCUUGUUUUCAAGAUAUCAAACCCCAUAUUAUAUAACUUAAAUGAGCAAAGAUCAAGAAAUCAACAAAAGAGCAUAUAACAUACCUUGUUAUAUGAGCUUCCUCUUUCUUUGUCUAAUUCUUUGGAGAUCUUACUCUAUUUAAAGAAAGCAAAGAUUGAGAAUUACCUAUAAAAGGGGAGAGUGCUU